GUGCUCACUUCUGCAGCACAUAUGCUAAAAUUGGAAUGAUAGAAGAUUAAUUAGCAUGGCUCCUGAGCAUGGAUGACAUGAAAAUUUGUGAAGUAUUCCAUAUCUAA